UAGUUUCGCUUUGAUCACGUGUCACAGG
rnacentral:sRNA from 1 species